rnacentral:lncRNA from 1 species
AUGGCUGGGGGUGCAGAGGGAGCUUCAAUGCCAGAGGGGAAAAUCACUCUGCAGCUGGAUAACCUAGCACAGGCGCUUCCAAAAAUCCGAGUCUCCUUCUGUCAGCAUCCACAGGGACUUUGGGAAAGCUGGGAUUUCCUGUCAGGAGCUCUGUCUUGUUCUCUGGGUCGCCUAUGGCCCUCGGAAGGGUGCAGGCUCCAGGGGAUUGGUCCACAUCACUGCUGCUUUCUGAGGGUCCCUGGGUUCCUUUCAUUCCUCAGGAGCUUGGUAAGGAUGAGGGUCCGUGCAGGGCAUGGCUCCAGAGCCUGAAGAUGCCAGCUCGGUUUGAGAUGCGCCUGGCUCCUCACAGCCCCAGGAGACUCAAGGCAAAGAAAUCCAGAGAGCCACCCAGGAAAGCUCUCCGCCUGCUCCCGACACCCCCGCUCAAACUGGAGAAAAGACAGUCCUGGGGCGGGGGCCGGACGGUUUCACCGGAGGGCAAAGGUCCGUGGUGCUGAAGGGACAGCUUCUCUGCUGCUGCUGCACCCCCGCCUUUCUAGCGCCCGGCCUGGAGACCUGGGGUGCUGAAGGGUCGGUCCUCCCCCAUGCCCUUCCCCCCGUCCCUUCCCAGACCAGCCAGCCGGCUCGGCUCUGCCUAGUCAAGCCCACGCUCCGCGCAAAGUUUCGGGAGCCGAGGGUAGUCAGCGCCCCGGCUCCUUGGCGCUGCAGCACAGCUCCGUUCCUCCGCUCCCGGAAGGGUUAAGGAAAGGGGAAGGGGAAAGAAGCCCGCAGCGCACUCUGGGGCUCUCUCGCUCCCACCCAACGCGGCGUUUCCCCCCACCAAUGAGCCAGGCAAGUUUGCCUUUUGCUGCGGGCGCUGCUGGAGCCCAUGGGGAAGACCGAGUCUUCUUAAAGGGACCGGCGACUCCGGGCGACGUUUCUAUGUCUCACUUGGGCGGGCAAAAAGUGUUCUCACAGGCACAUCUGUGUAUAGUCUAUCUCAAUUUGGUUCCCCAGAAAACAAACCAAUAUGUCUACCCUCCUUUCUCUGGAGCUCUGGUUUACACCGGAGACAACGUGCUCAGAUCAGAGCCGGAACUGUUCAUAUACAUGAUUGUGUAUUCCUAAAAGACAGAAGGAGCUAAACGUAUAUAGACUCUGUUGUACACAUAGCAGGGAUUUGGGGCAAAGGGGUGUGAGUACCGGUCUCUGAAUUCACAUAUAUAUUAAUAUCCCUACAUUUGGGGGUGCGGAGGCGAUAGAUUAAAGGCGGGAGAGCCACCAAAAAUGUCAGAUUCUUUCCAAGGGUGCUUGGGAUAUUCAUUUGUUAAAAUCCUUGUCUCAGUUAGACUAGGAGGCAGGUGAAGUUAGGUCUGCUCUCCUUGUUAGUCCAAAGUGCACAUGCCACUGCACACCUGAAAGCUAGUGAGACUCUCCCUUCGAAAUAGUCAGUGUUGCAAAACAGCGUUUAAGCCAAUUUUUGUUACUAUGCAUUCUGGCACAGCCAUGAGUCACACUGAGUUGACUAAGGACAGUCCACAGAACGCCUUUAAUAUUAUUUUUUUCCUACAGCAUGAUGGAACAGAUGCCCAGAGGCUGGGUCUUUGGAAUUGAGGUUGCUUGGGCUGUUUCUGCAGUCCCUGAGAUGUGUCCAUAACCAACUGUCAUGUUUGAAUGUUAUUUAACUGGACAAAAAUAUAAUGGGAGGUAAACUCAAACACAUAUAGUCCCCUGGUGUCAUCUCUGGCUGUCAGUCUGAGAGAUUCCUUACAGAUGAGUGAGUAGCAGCAACGUAUUGAAGAGUUCCCAAAUGCAGCUCACAACUUCUCAGUGACUUUGCUACUUUUUCUUUGGUGUUAAACUCACUUGAAGAUUUGGUUCUUGGUAUUAGACAUAUACGCACUUUCAUGCAUAGGUUUGAAGAUAUAGUCAUGGUGUAUUGUGUUUGAAUGUUUACCUGUGCUGUGUCCAAUUUAGUUACGAGCUCUGAGUACCUGCGAAUUUGUUGAAGUGAAGCAGGUAUGCAAAUACGUGUCUGUGCCUGCAUGCAAUGUUGUGAGCCAUGUGGCUAUGUUUGCUGCAGAUGCAUCGCUCUGUGCAUGUGUGGGUCUACCUGCCUGUGUAUAUGUAUACUGUCAAUUUGUGCACUUAUAUUCAUUUAAUUGCAUAUGCAUGUGUCAUGGUCCAUUGAUUUGUGGGCAGGAAGUAGAAAUGUUGUAAAUUUGCCACACAACCAAAAUGGAACAGAUAAACUUGGGACCAGAGCCACACUAGCCAUGCCCCUGAAGAAUGACAGGAAAUAAUGGGGGAAAGUAUACAAAGCCUUCUAUAUAAGUUACUUAAGUGUUCUUCCUUUCCUAAAAAGAAAACUUCCUUCUCAAUAAAGUGUCCGGCCUUGAUUAUUUAUUUUUUUGU